rnacentral:lncRNA from 1 species
UAUAAUGAAAACUAAAGUUAAAAAUCCAAAAAACUUCGUUGAAUUGUUUUCACUUUUGGGAGAUUCUGUUUUCGUUCAUUCUUUAUUUCUUUCCCUCUCUCCCAUCACCCUCCUUCAUCUCUCAUUUCUCAUAUACUUUUCCCCCAUAUACUUUUCUCACAGAUAUCUCAAUACAAAAUGUAAAAAUGAAAUAGUUAUCAAACGGCCUUCAAUCUCUUCGAAGAGCACCUUUUUGCAGAUGAAUGUGUUGAGAGUUGUCCCACAUUGGUGAGACGAGGUUUGCUAUGUGCUUAUAUGGUCUUGGGCUACUCCCCAUAUUGCCAAUUGGUUUUAUGGUGGAAUCCCAAUUUCAUCAUGGUAUCAAAGCGGGUUGUCCUCAUGUGAAGCCAAACAGCCACACAUGCUCCACGUCACCCAGUUGUUGUCCACGUGUAGACUUGAAAAUCCGCCACACGUGCGGGGGCGUGUUAAGAGUUAUCCCACAUCGGUGAGGGACAAUGUUUGAUAUGUGCUUAUAUGGUCUUGAGCUACUCCCCAUAUUGUCAAUUGGUUUUAUGGUAGAAUUCCAAUUUCAUCGUAAUGUUGUGUAUGAAGCACAUAUUCAAAUGAGCCUAAAUGUUUUGAACACGAGGGGCCAAAGUGUGUAAGUUUUUAAAAAAACUGAAUUCUAAGAGAAGAUGUUAUUCGGUUAAUUUCACCAACUAAUUGUCCUAUCUUCUGAAUUUCAUGUUUCUCCCUUCAAUCUUUCUUUUAGAAUUCAAUUCGUGGAGUUUGAAGAUGUUAUUCGGUUAAAACCAAAACCAAAAAUAUGUUAAUUGAAUUGUUUUCACUUUAGAGAUUCUAUUUUCGUUUAUUCUUUAUUUUUUUUACCUCUCCCAUCACCCUCCUUCAUCCCUCCUUUCUCCUAUAUACAUUCUUCCAUAUCUCAAACACAAAAUGUAAAAACAAAAUGGUUAUGAAACGGCCUUCAAUCUCUUUAAAGAGCACCUUUUUGCAGAUGAAUAUUGUGUAUGAUGCAUUUAUAAAUAAGCCUGAAUGUUUUGAACACGAGGGGCCAAAGUGUGUAAGUUUAAAAAAAAAAAAACUAAUCUCUAAGAGAAGAUGUCGCUCGUUAGUUUAAUUGUCCUAUCUUCUGAAUUUCAUGUUUCUACCUUCAAUCUUUCGUUUAGAAUUUGUUUAGUGUGUGAAUAUAAGGAGAGUAAAAAAAUAGGACUUGAGCAUGAAAUAUUAGCACUGUAACCUCCAAUUCUGAACCAUGGUCAAAUGAUCACCAGAGAUCCCCAACUCAAGCGAGUCAAAUUCCUUCCACAAAUGUUUUUUUCUCUUCAUUUCGUUUUUGCCUUAACUUCAAAUAUUAAAAAAUAAACCACCCUUUAUACCAUGCAUAAAAUUUUCCCAACUUUUUAGAACCACUGAUUGAUUCUAAUUUGUAGGAAAUUGUUACUAAUCCACACGUUAUAAGCAUAAACAAGUAAAACACAAAAAGAAGAAAUCUUCCCUAAAAAUCGUACCCUUGACUAGUACGGGCACUCAUCAACAUUAUGAUCAAGCUGUUCUUAAGUGUUGAAGUUGCCGGAAGUGCAUCUGGGCUGUUGCGUUACUUGGAUCAGAAGCAACAACAGCAUUUCGAUCCUCAGCUUCUUUCUUCGCAUUGUCUCCAGAAAUCGAAAGCGCGUCUUGCAGAGACGAGAAAAAGAGGCGAACAAGAGUGCCAACAAGGGGAAUAGAGGAGCAUAUAAUUGCAGCUUGUCUGAUGUUCAUAGCUUAGAUGGUAAAGAGUUAAAGAACAGCUUAACUUGGAAAUUAUGCGGUAUCAUGUUUUGCUAAAUUUAUAGCGGAGAGUGCAGUGAAAAGUUGCGUUCUUUUUAUGUCAAUUUUAACGACAGACGUGACAAGCAAGUGACAAACGUGAUGAGCAAGUUGGGAGAAUUCACGUGGUAAGCAAGUUGGGAGAAUUCUAUGUAAUUUGAAAUUUCAAGCAACCCAAAUGGACCCUUAGUAGAAAAAGAAAUAAAGAAUGCACUAAUAGAGUAUAUAUUCUUCUUAGUGACGCUCACAGCUGUCAAGCAAUAAUAGGUAGUUUCAAUUGAUAAUGAUGUUUCAAUUGAUAAUGAUGCAAUAAUUUGAAAAAUAAUCGUUUUGGCCAAUUUCUAUUAACUUUUUUUGUACGUCAUUGAUUGUUUCAGAGAAAUUACAAGUUGAUUUUAGUGACUUUUUUGCUUGCAAAGAAUAUUUAAAGAAAGACUUGAACUCGGGAACUCGGUUGGGAGAGAUUCCCUUAAAAUCGGUGAUAUUAUGCCAUGAAUGCCGUGACUAACAGACAGAUGAUUACUAUUUGAAAAUAUUAGUCAUCUAUGACAUGUGCUGACAUUGGAACAAUAUAGCGGGUUCAAGAGACCUUCUAUCCUCAAUUAGAGGAAUAAAUUAUCUUAACCAACUGAGCUAUAAAUUCCGUGCAUCCAUCACCUGAGUUGUUCUCUCUCAUCGUGUACACUAGUAGUGGUACAGAAUCAUAUGUUAUUUUAGUGACAUAAAAUGCUUUAGUUUGUGGGAUAACAUCUUACAAGUUUACAACACACGUGACUGUCACAUGAUGAGUGUCGUAGAUUUCAGCAAUAUAUUUCCAGUGACAUGUGAGAAUCUCUCGGCUGAUGUGGUUGGGUUCAUUUGUUGGAGGACAACCAACCAUACCACUACAUUUUCGUACCAAACCAACCAGAUCAUGGAUCCAACAGUCGCUUGGAUUCUUAAAAUUCAGAAUUCACCUAGUAACGAAAGAAUCAAAUGCUGUCUUUGUACUUCACUUUUUCGUUCUCUGUUGGAAAUUAACCCAAAAACGAUGCGAUUUAGUCGUUAUGCUUACACCUAAUGCAGAUGUUUUACAAAAUGAUACAAGGACUAUACAAAAUAAAACUAUGGAAUGACCAAAAUGUUUAUGUAAAAUGGGUCUCACUGACCAAAUACAGCUUCUGACCAUCAUUUAUCAAAUCCACAUCAAGAAUUUACCUGCAUCUUCUUUUAAUAUUAUACCGGAGCCACUCGAUGAAAACUCCAGUUGCUCUCCCGCUGUUCUGAUGAGCUCUCCAAUGGUACUCGGGACACACAACAGAAAUUUCAUUUCAACUUAUCAUGUUAAAUGUAAGUACAAGGUGUCAUGUAUAGGAAUGUUCAUUACGCCAUUCGCAAGCGAUGUUAACCUAUUUUCUUUUGCUUCUUUUUCAUCUAGAGAUAAAACAUGACAAAAUAACUUACUAGAAAAAUCAAUUAUUCAGUAAUCUGAUUUCCUCAUUUGGCUACAACGGAGACUUUGUUGGAGAUAUUUCCUAUCCAUGAACCUCAACUUUUUGCUUUUGUUUGUUCGAGUAACAAAAGCUGAUGGAGAUAUAUCCUGUUCCAAAUUCAUGACCUAUAUAAUAUCGGUGCAGACAUAACUUGUUAUUGUUUGUUCGAGUAACCAGGAUCGCAGAAUGAAUGCAUCCCGAAAAUCUUUGGCCUUUGCUUCUUCUUCUUGCAAGCUUCAAGGAUUGGGAUUGACUUGGUGAUCACUUCAAGUUUCAAGCUUCCAGCUUUAGCUCUCCCUCUCUCUCUUUCUCUAACUCUCUCUUUCUCUCUAUUCCAAGACUCUGCGUUCUUGAAAAAUCAAUAAUGACCUGAAGAAGUUUGUUAUAGAGUGGGCGUUUGUCUGUUACAACUUUCAGGCUAUGCCUUCUGAGCGCUCGGGUAUACAAUUUUCCCGCUUGAAAUGGAGUGUGAGCAGAUUUACGAUAAUGCGCCUCCUGCUGAGAAAUAAUUACAAGUUUUACCAGCCAAUUCUUUCCCUUGAGGCUUGUGUGAAGUGAUCAUGCGAUAUGGGUAUUUUAGACAUCAUCUACAUGAGGGUAUCAAGUAUGAACAGAUUCUUUUUGGGCACUCACUUUGGGAAAUACCCAUGUUUCUUAGGAAAUGAACAUUUGUUUUAUCGUUAAAAUUAACAUGGUUUUUAAGUUGUCACUUAAUAUUACGGUUUAGUAGUAUUCUUCUUCAUUUGUGGCGAGAUAUCUAAAGUUCAAAUAUCAGAAAUGACAAGUCCACAAGCUUCUAUAUGCACAAAAAAGUUCAUUACAAAUUCAUUGUUCAAAUUUUGUUUUAUUAAACUGUUGAUAUUUUUAUCUUGUAAAGUGUUCUUUAUUUUGUUUUCAAUAAAAUUGUUCUCUCUGAUUGUUGUGCCGCCAACAUUCAUAAAAGACAUUAAUCGAUUUGAAACACAAAGGAGUAAAAGGAGUAAACGUACAUUUUUCGCAAAUCAUAGUGACGAUUGUGAUAAAAAUCCCUAUUUGGCACCAAAACAAUCAAUUGGUCUUCACAAAACCACUUAAGCAUUAUCUUUUUAUUUCAUGCAUAAUGAAGAGUGGAUGAAGGAUGAUGAGCAAAGAUGUAUUAGAAAUGUAAAGGGAAAGGCACACAUAAUGAGAACUAAAAUUAAAAAACAAAAAUCUUUGUUGAACUGUUUUCACUUUCGAGAUUCUUCUUUCGUUCAUUCUUUAUUUCAAUUUCCCUCUCUCCCAUCACCCUCCUUCAUCUCUCCUUUUUCUCAUAUACUUUUCUCAUAUAUAUCUCAACACAAAAUGUAAAAACAAAAUAGUUAUGAAACGGUCUUCAAUCUCUUUGAAGGCACCUUUUUGCAGAUGAAUGGUGUGUACGAAGCACAUAUACAAAUGAGCCUGAAUAUUUUGAACGCGAGGGGCCAAAGUGUGUAAAUUUAAAAAAAAAAGAUUAAUUGUUCUAUCUUCUGAAUUUCAUGUUUCUGCCUUCAAUCUUUCUUUUAGAAUUCUAUUCACAUAGUGCGAAUAUAAGGUGGGUGGGCAAACAAGAAUCUAGCAUAAAUUAUAUAUUAGCACUGUAACCUCCAAUUCUGAACCAUGGUCUCAAAUGAUCACCAAAGAUCCCCCAACUCGAGCGAGUCAAAUUCCUUCUACAUGUUUUUUUUCUCUUCAUUUCGUUUUUGCCUUAACUUUGGAUAUUAACAAAAAAACCACCCUUCAAACCAUGCUUAAAAAUUUCCCAGCUUUUUAAAACCACAGAUUGAUUCUAAUUUGUAGGAAAUUGUUACUAAUCCACGCGUUAUAAGCAAGAACAAGUAAAAUACAAAAAGAAGAGUUCUCCCUUAUCAUACCCUUGAUUAAUAUGGGCACUCAACAACAUUAUGAUCAAGCAGUUCUUAAGUGCUGAAGUUGCCGGAAAUGCAUCUGGGCUGUUGCGUUACUUGGAUCAGAAGCAACAUCGACAUUUUGAUCCUCGGCUUCAUUCUUCUCCUUGUCUCCAGAAAUCGAAAGCGCCUCUUGCAGAGACGAGAAGCAGAGGCGAAAAAGAGUGCCCACAAGGGGAAGAGAGGAGCAUACAAUUGCAGCUUGUCUGAUUUUCAUAGCUUAGUAGAUAGUUAAUAAACAGUUGCUCGAC